GUACACACCGCCCGUCGCUCCUACCGAUUGGGUGUGCUGGUGAGAUGUCGGGAUUAGUGGCUGUGGGCGGUUCGCCGCCCUCUGCCGCUGAGAACUUCAUCAAACCCUCCCACCUAGAGGAAGGAGAAGUCGUAACAAGGUUCCUGUAGGUGAACCUGCAGAAGGAUCA
rnacentral:rRNA from 1 species